rnacentral:rRNA from 1 species
UGAGGAAUAUUGGUCAAUGGGGGCAACCCUGAACCAGCCAAGUCGCGUGAAGGAUGAAGGUCUUAUGGAUUGUAAACUUCUUUUAUACAGGAAUAAAUUGGGGGACGUGUCCCCUUUUGCAUGUACUGUAUGAAUAAGGAUCGGCUAACUCCGUGCCAGCAGCCGCGGUAAUACGGAGGAUCCGAGCGUUAUCCGGAUUUAUUGGGUUUAAAGGGUGCGCAGGCGGGAUGUUAAGUCGGCGGUGAAAUUUUGCAGCUCAACUGUAAAAGUGCCUUCGAUACUGGCUUCCUUGAGUGUGGAUGAANUAGGCGGAAUUUGUGGUGUAGCGGUGAAAUGCUUAGAUAUCACGAGGAACUCCGAUUGCGCAGGCAGCUUACUAAGCCACAACUGACGCUCAUGCACGAAGGCGUGGGGAUCAAACA